CAACCAGUUGUCAUUGUUAAAGACAUUACUGUAAACCCAUCCAUAUAAGUGGAGAACCUUUACUGCGACCUAAAUGAACCGAGUUCAUAGUUCAGGCGUUCAAUUUGAAUAAAUCGAUUAAAUCAAGGUUGGUGUGUCUGCCAUCCUUGUGCAAACUGUGACAGUCGUACACCAUCACACUGUUCACAGCUAAUUAUUUGGUAAUCCUUCAUUUUCUGCAGGCUUGAGUUGAGAGCUUGGGUCUGAUUUACCAGCUGUUAAGCCAAACAAAAAAGAGAUACAUAUCUAUAGACAUAUACUUAUAUGUAUAUAUGCAUAUGUGUAUGUGUGUGUGUGUGUGUGUGUGUGGUGUGUGUGUAUAUAUAAAAAAUACAGUGAUGUGUUCAGGAUUUAUCUUUUGAACACGUAAAGCAUUCUAGGCUUGAAAAAAACUAGUAUGUAACUGUCCUACUAAUGAGUAUCCAUGAAAAUACUGAUGCUGGUGUUUCCCUAAGCAAAGUUUGUAUUUGCAGUGCAGUGAGAUACUCAGCUACGUGCCCUAAGUAACAUCACAAAAUCUUGGAGAAUGCCUUAUCACCCAAACAGUACCAUAACAUGUACAGGGUUUGGUAGAGUUCUGAGGAAAAAUGCAUGUACCUACAACAUCAUGUAACUUCAUUAGAGACUUAGAGUGCUGGAAUGGCUUAACUUUCUUAUAGCUGCCUUUGUAACCUCCAAACUUUACUUCUUACUUUUCUUUGCUAUAAUUCAGUUUUAUUUGCCUUGGGAACAGUGCAGCCUUUGCUAGCAACAAAUAUUUUGGGCAACUAAAGAAUCUGUUUGAACUACUGUAAAAACAAAUAUUGUGUAUUAACUCAUUAAAUGGCAGGUGUACAUAUAUAAACAACAUCUGGACAGUUUCAUUUCUCUGGAGUACUGAACAUAGCUACACCACAAAUUGGAAGACGGAUGAGGAAGAAAAGAGGGAAGAGAAGGGAAGAAGAGGGAAGAGAAGGGAAAAAAUCACCUCUCACAAUCCUCAAGGUCUUGUCCAUUAUAAGGAAGGAGAAAUUGGUGGUGAAUGCAGUCAGUCAUUUCCCUGAUGCAGCCCAGUGUGUCUACAGAGAACAAAGUCCUGCUUUCCAGCUCAGACGAAAUGAGAUUCUGGGUGACCUGUGUUUUGGGCUAUGGCUUCAUUCCCCUUGUUCCAGAUAGAAGCAUAACUGCUGCUACACUUAUGCAGCCAGCAAGCAUUCAAGACUUCAUCCCCCUAGUCAAGAUCAACAACUUUUACCUAUCUUUUUUUUGA
rnacentral:lncRNA from 1 species